GUUACAUGUCAAAUGCCAAUGGGAAAGACAGCUGGAGUGUCUAAACUGAGUGCUUUGAUCUUACUAUCUGUAGAAAGAGGUCAUUUGGUUUCCCCCAAGAACCAAAGACAUUUAGAUGUUCCAUGUGCGGCUCAAGCAAACUAUCCCUCUGUGUUUACCAGGACUCGACAUUGUCAAUCAUAGGACUAUUUACGUCUUGACAUCAACACAUUCCUGGUUUUCCUCUUCUUACUGGGAUGGAUCAUUAAAUAGACUUGAAAUUUAAACUAUCAAAUUGCAGCUGUUCCUUUUUCCCACCAUGAGGGGAACUCCAUGAGCCAGUGACAUCAGAAGAAAACUCCAGCCAACAAGGACCUGGAUCCCGGCUAGACUGGCUUUUUAACCAAUUGGGAAGGGUGUGGGUUUUUUGAAUGGCUGUCAAAGUGGGUAAAAUGUUCUGUACCCCAUGCAUGCUUUAUGUUGAUUCUUUUGAGAGACAACUCUGUACUGAUGUCUUUUCUGUCUGGAAAGAAUAAAUCUCUGUUCCUUUUGCCUUCA
rnacentral:lncRNA from 11 species